rnacentral:rRNA from 1 species
GUCCACGCCGUAAACGAUGGACACUAGGUGUGGGGGGUAUUGACCCCCUCCGUGCCGAAGCUAACGCACUAAGUGUCCCGCCUGGGGAGUACGGCCGCAAGGCUAAAACUCAAAGGAAUUGACGGGGGCCCGCACAAGCAGCGGAGCGUGUGGUUUAAUUCGACGCAACGCGAAGAACCUUACCAAGGCUUGACAUGCUGGUAGUACCGAUCCGAAAGGUGAGGGACCCUUCGGGGAGCCAGUGCAGGUGAUGCAUGGCUGUCGU